GGAAUCUUGCGCAAUGGGCGAAAGCCUGACGCAGCCACGCCGCGUGAAUGAUGAAGGUCUUAGGAUUGUAAAAUUCUUUCACCGGGGAAGAUAAUGACGGUACCCGGCGAAGAAGCCCCGGCUAACUUCGUGCCAGCAGCCGCGGUAAUACGAAGGGGGCUAGCGUUGCUCGGAAUUACUGGGCGUAAAGGGCGCGGAGGCGGAUAGUUUAGUCAGAGGUAAGAGCCCAGGGCUCAACCUUGGAACUGCCUUUGAUACUGGCUAUCUUGAGUUCGGGAGAGGUGAGUGGAAUGCCGAGUGUAGAGGUGAAAUUCGUAGAUAUUCGGCGGAACACCAGUGGCGAAGGCGACUCACUGGCCCGAUACUGACGCUGAGGCGCGAAAGCGUGGGGAGCAAAC
rnacentral:rRNA from 1 species